rnacentral:misc_RNA from 1 species
GAUGAAGAACGUAGCGAAAUGCGAUAAGUAAUGUGAAUUGCAGAAUUCAGUGAAUCAUCGAAUCUUUGAACGCACAUUGCGCCCGCCAGUAUUCUGGCGGGCAUGCCUGUUCGAGCGUCAUUUCAACCAUCAAGCCCCCGGCUUGUGUUGGGGACCUGCGGCUGCCGCAGGCCCUGAAAAGCAGUGGCGGGCUCGCUGUCACACCGAGCGUAGUAGCAUACAUCUCGCUCUGGGCGUGCUGCGGGUUCCGGCCGUUAAACCACCUUCAUAACCCAAGGUUGACCUCGGAUCAGGUAGGAAGACCCGCUGAACUUAAGCAUAUCAAUAAGGGGAGGA